rnacentral:rRNA from 1 species
AGAGUUUGAUCCUGGCUCAGGAUGAACGCUGGCGGUAUGCUUAACACAUGCAAGUCGAACGGAUGUUUUCGGACAUUAGUGGCGGACGGGUGAGUAACGCGUGAGAAUCUAGCUUCAGGUUGGGGACAACAGUUGGAAACGACUGCUAAUACCGAAUAUGCCGAGAGGUGAAAGAUUAAUUGCCUGAAGAAGAGCUCGCGUCUGAUUAGCUAGUUGGUGGGGUAAGAGCUUACCAAGGCGACGAUCGGUAGCUGGUCUGAGAGGACGAUCAGCCACACUGGGACUGAGACACGGCCCAGACUCCUACGGGAGGCAGCAGUGGGGAAUUUUCCGCAAUGGGCGAAAGCCUGACGGAGCAAUACCGCGUGAGGGAAGAAGGCUCUUGGGUUGUAAACCUCUUUUCUGAAGGAAGAAAAAAAUGACGGUACUUCAGGAAUCAGCAUCGGCUAACUCCGUGCCAGCAGCCGCGGUAAUACGGAGGAUGCAAGCGUUAUCCGGAAUGAUUGGGCGUAAAGCGUCCGCAGGUGGCAAUUCAAGUCUGCGGUUAAAGGUUCUGGCUCAACCAGAGACAGGCCGUGGAAACUGAAUAGCUAGAGUAUGGUAGGGGCAGAGGGAAUU